AGUGAACGCUGGCUGUAGGCCUAACACAUGCCAGUCGAACGGCAGCACAGUAAGAGCUUGCUCUUACGGGUGGCGAGUGGCGGACGGGUGAGGAAUACAUCGGAAUCUACUUUUUCGUGGGGGAUAACGUAGGUAAACUUACGCUAAUACCGCAUACGCCCUACGGGUGAAAGCAGGGGAUCUUCGGACCUUGCGCGAUUGAAUGAGCCGAUGUCGGAUUAGCUAGUUGGCGGGGUAAAGGCCCACCAAGGCGACGAUCCGUAGCUGGUCUGAGAGGAUGAUAAGCCACACUGGAACUGAGACACGGUCCAGACUCCUACGGGAGGCAGCAGUGGGGAAUAUGGGACAAUGGGCGCAAGCCUGAUCCAGCCAGACCGCGUGGGUGAAGAAGGCCUUCGGGUUGGAAAGCCCUUUUGUUGGGAAAGAAAAGCAGCAGGUUAAUACCCAGCUGUUCUGACGGUACCCAAAGAAUAAGCACCGGCUAACUUCGUG
rnacentral:rRNA from 1 species